AAGUAUGUUAGUGAGGGUUGUUAUACGUCACCAUCGACAGAUAACACAACUCACCAGGAACGCCCUUGAGGCUAAGCUCAAGGGCGAAAAAGAGAUCAGCAUGAAUCGCCAAUAGCUGUGUGAGCCUAAAAUCAGCAAUCACAAAAGUUUGUUAUAAAAUAGCUUCCUAGAAUAGAUAAAAUCUAUAUGCUUUCGCCUCAACAUUAUAUGAAGACAAAAUCCAAAACUAACAUUGAACCUAUGCCUAUGCUAGGAUGAGUAUUAUUAAAAAACUAUUACCUCGGUCCAACAUCCAUCAUGCCGAAUCUAAACAAAUUUAAUAGCACUAAGUAAAUAAAAGGAACUCGGCAAACACUCGUCCCGCCUGUUUAUCAAAAACAUGGCUCUCCGCUUUCCCCCCAUGGGGAGUCAAACCUGCCCAGUGAGUAUUUUAACGGCCGCGGUACUCUGACCGUGCAAAGGUAGCAUAAUCAUUUGCCUUAUAAUUGAAGGCUAGUAUGAAUGGUCACACGUGGGCGAUACUGUCUCUUUUUUAUUCUCUAAAAAUUAACCUUUAGGUGAAGAGGCCUAAAUUUUAUUAAAGGACAAGAAGACCCUGUCGAGCUUAAAAGACAUUAGCAGAAGUCGAUAUCGUAGAAAUAAAUAUUCUGCUUAGCUUUUUAGUUGGGGCGACUAAGGAACAAAAAAAGCUUCUUUGUAAAAUGACUACCCGCCGGCAUAGAUCCAGUACAAAUACUGAUCAGGAAAAUUAGCUACCGCAGGGAUAACAGCAUAAUCCCUCUUGAGAGAUCAUAUCGAAAGGGGGGGUUGUGACCUCGAUGUUGGACUAGAAUAUCCGAGUGAUGCAGACGUCAUUGAGGGUUGGUCUGUUCGACCAUUAAAAUU
rnacentral:rRNA from 1 species